UCAAAAUCCCUAGCACGCCUCAAUUUGGAUCGGGCCUGGCACACAUCUCUCUCCCUCACCCCCUCCUCCACCACCGGCCGCUGGCGUGGCGGUGCGCCUACUGCUCCUCCACUCAGCCACGAGCACCAUCUGCCGCACCAUCCAUCCAUCUCAGCCGCGCCAUCCAUCCACCACUCCACCAGCGCCGCAUCCCCAACAUCCAACACCACCGCGCCACACCACCAGCAGCCUCCAUCCGCCAAACCACUAGUACACCACCGCCAUCGCCAACUCCCUCUUCCUUCCUCUGCUCUCUCAACCUCCCGCUGCUGCUUCUGCUCCAAUCCCCACGCUGCUCACAUUACUUUUCCUUGCUGUUGUUCCUUUACUGAAGAAAACAACCUGCUGCUGUUCUGCACUUGUUGUUGUUCUGAACUCUGAACUCCUGCUGCUGCUUAUUUCGUGCCCAAGCUGCUGCUCCUCUCUUUCUUGCAACACCUACUGCUGUUCUUCUCCUUCUCCUAACCUUGUUGUUGUUCUUCUCUGAACUCCUACCUCGCUGCUACUCUGCUUCCUCACCUCUGUUCCUGCUACUUCUCUUUUGAACCACAAACUGUUGCUGCUCUCUUUCUUUCUCUUCCUCCCUCUCUUUCUAUGCAUGUGUGUGUAAUUUCUGUGAGUUAUUAGUGGAUGCUAGAUCAACCAUAUUCAAAUCAGUAUCAGUUCUAUAUGUGUCUGUAUGUCAGCUAGUUUACUAUAACAAAUUGUGCUUUUAUUUUAUAUUGAGAUUGAUCUUUGUGAAGUCAGAUGUGUGAUUGUGUUUGAUCUCUAGUUAAUAGUUAGUUAAGUACCUGUGAUAUAUAUACAUAUGUGUGUGUCUGUGAUGUGAUACAUUUAUGUUCUGUCCUACAACCUUGUUUCUUCCCCCUGUUAAUUAUAUAUAUUCAUGUCUUUUUAAUUCCCUAGCAGUUUGAUGUUUGCUUGUGCUAGCAUUUUAUUUUUCAAGUUUAAUGAAAAUACCAAAAAGACAGUGAUUGCAAUCUUAUGCUACCUAUGCUAGUUUGCAAUUUCUUUGUCGUCAAUCCUUGUUAGUGUUAGGUUUAUUUUCUGUUUUCAUCACCCAAUAUCGUGUUACCUAGAUUUAGCCGAGCGUAAUCGCCGUCGCCUAGUCCCUGUGAGGAACAACGACAUCCAUAGUUUGGGCGUUAAAACCCCACUAUAUUUACAAGUGAUCAUUUUGGCGCCGUUGCCGGGGAUUAGCGUUGAGUGACCGUGUUAGGCUAUAGACUAGGUUUUUCUUCUUUUUCUAUUUUGUGCCAUAUAUUUGUGAUAUAUCUCUUACCCCUAACCACUGCUCUAGUUAUCUUCUCUUUCUUUUCUUGUUCAUGUUGUAUGUUGAAUUGUCUUCUUGGAAAGGCAUUCUCCUCAGAUCAUCAUGCUUAUGCGAGCAACACUACAAACAUCACGGAAAGUAUUUAAGAACUAAUAAGUAAGAUUUCCCAUCGAUUAGAUGAUUUAGCUCGGUAGCGAGAAGUAGUUUUUGAGGAUAGGCCGCUCUUAUGAUCCUUAUUCCGGAGGCCAUCCUUAUGUUGCUCCUACUUGCCAUAUUUGUGGUUUUCAGGGCCAUUCGCCCGCUGAAUGUCAACAUGGUUACUCUCACACUUCAGAUUGUUUUGGCAUGAGCUUCGCUCAAGAGCAUAGCUCAUACCAAAACAAUUACUCACAUGGGUGGCCUGAUAACCCAAUUAUGUCAUAUAGGAGCAACAACCCUGAGAUCUCAUCGUUUGCCUCUAGUUAUCCAAUGCAGGGAUUUAGGUACAAUGAGGAGAGCCACAACUAUGCUCCACAACAGUCUUAUUCAGCUCCUAUUCAUAUACCUCAGCACCAGGAGAUGUGUCCAAUGGAGUUAAAUGGUCCUCCAUUUGGUCAACCAAUAACUUCAGCACCUAAUGAGUCGGUAGAGCAAUCUCAUGUGCAAGUGCCCACACAAGAUGAGUUUGAUGGCAUAGACAAGCUCACACUUUUUAGUCUCGAGUUCACUUGGAGUGUUGAGGAUGAUCCUAUUAGGAAGGUUAUACUAGAGGAAAUGAAGAAGAUCAAGAGUGGAAAAGAGCUAGUGGAAGAAGUAAGGAAGAUUGAGAAGAACAUCAACGCUGGCAGCACUAUUUCUUCACAGCUAGAGAUGAGUAUUUCUGGGAUAUCCUUUGAUACAUGUGAGGUUCCAACACCGUCACAUACAGCUGAGCAAGAUAGCAAGAGUUCAGAGGAAGAGAGACCUCAGAUUUAAGAUGAACUAGAAGACAAGGAACAAGAUGAUCAAGAGCUGCAAUUUCCAUGUGAUCAAGUUGAAGACUCAUCAUCUACUACUCCUAAAGAAGUACAAGAAGAUGUUGUAGAUGAAGAUGAAGAACCUGAGAUUCACUGUCCUAUUGUCAUACAUGAGUGUGAUGUGUCAGGUUUACCCAAUCCUCUUGAUGACAUGCUACCUUGUGAUUUCUUUGCUUCUAACUUGCAUUGCAUGAUGCCAUCACUUAAGGUAGAUUUGAAAAACUAUUUGCUUGGACAUGAUCAUACACACCUUGUUAGUGGCAUUACUCUCAUUUGUGAUGAUCACAGUUACUUUCCUCGUGCUAGUUCUAUGCUUAAUGAAACAUAUCAUUCCCAUGCUAGUCUUGAGCUUAAUGAUAAAUAUCAUCCUCAUGUUAGUGUUGACCUUGCUGAUUUCUACCAUCCUAAACAUGUGCUUUAUAGCUAUGCUUAUGUAAUUGGAUAUUCGAUUGAUGACUUGGAGGGUAUUAUCCCUACCGCUUGCAUUGUUUCUUUUGUUGAGUGCCCUUUCAGGUUUUUGCUACUGCACCGUUCACUACAUGCUGACCAGGUUCGAGGUGACAUCCCUUGGGAUCCUGGUGGAGUCAGAGCAUGGCGAUGAGGAGAAGCAAGGGGCACACACGAAGAAGAGUGAAGCUGGAGCAUGCAUGAGGAAGCAAAAGGAGAGGAGUCGUAAUGCACGAGGAUGUAAGAGUGAUCGAGCGAGACCUACAUCAUAUAAUCCCGAAAAGUGUGAGAAGACACUAUAAACUUCAAGAUCCGGAAUAAGUGGCUAAGAGAACGAAGAAGAGGAGGAAUAAUAUACUUGUGCGAGAAGAAACGAGGUAACCAGGGGGCCAACUAUAGAAGAGAGUAUCAUCUUGUGCCAAAAGAAGAGAAGGAGGGCAAAAGUGCAAAAUGGAACGAAGAAGAGGAGGAAGAAUAUACUUGUGCGAGAAGAAAUGAAGUAAGGCCCGAUCCAAAAUUGAGGCAUGCUAGGGAUUUUGAUCCCCUCCCUGAUCUGCCAUUUUGCACUUUUGCCCUCCUUCUUCUCUUCUUUUGGCACAAGAUGAUCCUCUCUUCUAUAGUUGGCCCCCUGGUUACUUUGUUUCUUCUCGCACAAGUAUAUUCUUCCUCCUCUUCUUCGUUCCAUUUUGCACUUUUGCCCUCCUUCUCUUCUUUUGGCACAAGAUGAUCCUCUCUUCUAUAGUUGGCCCCCUGGUUCAUCCAUCCAUCCCAGCCGCGCCGCGCCAUCCAUCCACCACUCCACCAGCGCUGCAUCCCCAACAUCCAACACUGCCGCGCCACACCACCAGCAGCCUCCAUCCGCCAGACCACCAGUACACCACCACCAACGCCAACUCCCUCUUCCUUCCUCUGCUCUCUCAACCUCCUACUGCUGCUUCUACUCCAAUCCCCACGCUGCUCACAUUACUUUUCCUUGUUGUUGUUCCUUUACUGAAGAAAACGACCUGCUGAUGUUCUGCACUUGUUGCUGUUCUGAACUCUGAACUCCUGCUGCUGCUUAUUCCGUGCCCAAGCUGCUGCUCCUCUCUUUCUUGCAACACCUUCUGCUGUUCUUCUCCUUCUCCUAACCUUGCUGUUGUUCUUCUCUGAACUCCUACCUCGCUGCAGCUCUGCUUCCUCACCUCUGUUGCUGCUACUUCUCUUCUGAACCACAAACUGCUGCUGCUCUCUUUAUUUCUCUUCCUCCCUCUCUUUCUAUGCAUGUUUGUGUAAUUUCUGUGAGUUAUUAGUGGAUGCUAGAUCAACCAUAUUCAAAACAGUAUCAGUUCUAUAUGUGUCUGUAUGUCAGCUACUUCACUAUAACAAAUUGUGCUUUUAUUUUAUAUUGAGAUUGAUCUUUGUGAA